rnacentral:rRNA from 1 species
UACGUUGGCGGCAAGCGUUGUCCGGAAUUAUUGGGCGUAAAGCGCGCGCAGGUGGGAUCUUAAGUCCAUUUUGAAAGUUCGGAGCUUAACUCCGUGAUGGGAUGGAAACUGGGAUUCUUGAGUACCGGAGAGGAAAGCGGAAUUCCCCGUGUAGCGGUGAAAUGCGUAGAUAUGGGGAGGAACACCAGUGGCGAAGGCGGCUUUCUGGACGGUGUCUGACACUGAGGCGCGAAAGCUAGGGGAGCGAACGGG